GGUUAAGUUAGAAAGGGCGCACGGUGGAUGCCUUGGCACUAGGAGCCGAUGAAGGACGGGACGAACACCGAUAUGCUUCGGGGAGCUGUAAGCAAGCUUUGAUCCGGAGAUUUCCGAAUGGGGAAACCCACCACUCGUAAUGGAGUGGUAUCCAUAUCUGAAUUCAUAGGAUAUGAGAAGGCAGACCCGGGGAACUGAAACAUCUAAGUACCCGGAGGAAGAGAAAGCAAAUGCGAUUCCCUGAGUAGCGGCGAGCGAAACGGGAUUAGCCCAAACCAAGAGGCUUGCCUCUUGGGGUUGUAGGACACUCUGUACGGAGUUACAAAAGAACGAGGUAGAUGAAGAGGUCUGGAAAGGCCCGCCAUAGGAGGUAACAGCCCUGUAGUCAAAACUUCGUUCUCUCCUGAGUGGAUCCUGAGUACGGCGGAACACGUGAAAUUCCGUCGGAAUCCGGGAGGACCAUCUCCCAAGGCUAAAUACUCCCUAGUGACCGAUAGUGAACCAGUACCGUGAGGGAAAGGUGAAAAGCACCCCGGAAGGGGAGUGAAAGAGAUCCUGAAACCGUGUGCCUACAAGUAGUCAGAGCCCGUUAACGGGUGAUGGCGUGCCUUUUGUAGAAUGAACCGGCGAGUUACGAUCCCGUGCAAGGUUAAGCAGAAGAUGCGGAGCCGCAGCGAAAGCGAGUCUGAAUAGGGCGCAUGAGUACGUGGUCGUAGACCCGAAACCAGGUGAUCUACCCAUGUCCAGGGUGAAGUUCAGGUAACACUGAAUGGAGGCCCGAACCCACGCACGUUGAAAAGUGCGGGGAUGAGGUGUGGGUAGGGGUGAAAUGCCAAUCGAACCUGGAGAUAGCUGGUUCUCUCCGAAAUAGCUUUAGGGCUAGCCUCAAGGUAAGAGUCUUGGAGGUAGAGCACUGAUUGGACUAGGGGCCCCUACCGGGUUACCGAAUUCAGUCAAACUCCGAAUGCCAAUGACUUAUCCUUGGGAGUCAGACUGCGAGUGAUAAGAUCCGUAGUCGAAAGGGAAACAGCCCAGACCGCCAGCUAAGGUCCCAAAGUAUACGUUAAGUGGAAAAGGAUGUGGAGUUGCUUAGACAACCAGGAUGUUGGCUUAGAAGCAGCCACCAUUUAAAGAGUGCGUAAUAGCUCACUGGUCGAGUGACUCUGCGCCGAAAAUGUACCGGGGCUAAACGUAUCACCGAAGCUGCGGACUGUUCUUCGAACAGUGGUAGGAGAGCGUUCUAAGGGCUGUGAAGCCAGACCGGAAGGACUGGUGGAGCGCUUAGAAGUGAGAAUGCCGGUAUGAGUAGCGAAAGAGGGGUGAGAAUCCCCUCCACCGAAUGCCUAAGGUUUCCUGAGGAAGGCUCGUCCGCUCAGGGUUAGUCGGGACCUAAGCCGAGGCCGAAAGGCGUAGGCGAUGGACAACAGGUUGAUAUUCCUGUACCACCUCCUCACCAUUUGAGCAAUGGGGGGACGCAGGAGGAUAGGGUAAGCGCGGUAUUGGAUAUCCGCGUCCAAGCAGUUAGGCUGGGAAAUAGGCAAAUCCGUUUCCCAUAAGGCUGAGCUGUGAUGGCGAGCGAAAUGUAGUAGCGAAGUUCCUGAUUCCACACUGCCAAGAAAAGCCUCUAGCGAGGUGAGAGGUGCCCGUACCGCAAACCGACACAGGUAGGCGAGGAGAGAAUCCUAAGGUGAUCGAGAGAACUCUCGUUAAGGAACUCGGCAAAAUGACCCCGUAACUUCGGGAGAAGGGGUGCUCUGUUAGGGUGCAAGCCCGAGAGAGCCGCAGUGAAUAGGCCCAGGCGACUGUUUAGCAAAAACACAGGUCUCUGCGAAGCCGUAAGGCGAAGUAUAGGGGCUGACGCCUGCCCGGUGCUGGAAGGUUAAGAGGAGCGCUUAGCGUAAGCGAAGGUGCGAAUUGAAGCCCCAGUAAACGGCGGCCGUAACUAUAACGGUCCUAAGGUAGCGAAAUUCCUUGUCGGGUAAGUUCCGACCCGCACGAAAGGCGCAACGAUCUGGGCACUGUCUCAACGAGAGACUCGGUGAAAUUAUAGUACCUGUGAAGAUGCAGGUUACCCGCGACAGGACGGAAAGACCCCGUGGAGCUUUACUGCAGCCUGAUAUUGAAUGUUGGUACAGCUUGUACAGGAUAGGUAGGAGCCUUGGAAACCGGAGCGCCAGCUUCG
rnacentral:rRNA from 1 species